UCAACGAGAUCCGCAAGCACCGACCUCUUCUCCAGUUUUUCAGGCUCCUCCUCCUCCUCCGACAACAGCAGUUGGCAUGGAACAGUUCGACCUACUGGUUUAGUAGGUCAGGGGCCUCACCGAAGUGGUGCAGGCCAUGCAGCAGCAGCCGCAAGCAUCUGUGUGGUCGGAAAGAGCAUCGUCGGAGUUCCAAAAUCCAACGAUCGGACAGCCCACUUGGGCCAGCCGCCCUAUGUUCCCCAGAAAGGGGAAGC
rnacentral:lncRNA from 1 species